ACUCUUGCCUCCUUUUCAGGAUUUCACAAAAUGUGACACUGCAUUGUCUUUUUAACAGAUUCAUUGCUUGCACUGCUACAGUGUUAUUCAGGUGGUACUUUUCUACAAAAUUUUGCACUCUUUCCAUCCUCCAUUUUACACAUCACCACAUCUCCCUAGUCUCCUUUGAAGUGACAGGUUUCUCUCUGCCUAUUUCUCCUCCUCCUCUACAGCUCUUCAGAGAUCUCCUCCAUAACUUCUUGCUGUUGGGAGAUGAUCACCCACAAUCCAAGAGAGAGAGGGAGGGAGAGAGAGAGAGGCAGAGAGAGAGAGAGAAGAACCACUGGCUCAGUUGUAAUCAUGUGCUGUUCAGCAUCACAAUACUACUGUCAAUCCAUUUCCCUUUCUCCAAGGAAAUUGGGGCUGGAGUCUGAAGAGAAUAAAGAGACUAUAUAAUUUAUCUUAAUUUUCAUUGAAUAUCACUUAGAGUUGAAUGUGCAUAUGUGAAG
rnacentral:lncRNA from 1 species